rnacentral:rRNA from 1 species
AGCGAACGCUGGCGGCAGGCCUAACACAUGCAAGUCGAACGGAUCCUUCGGGAUUAGUGGCGGACGGGUGAGUAACACGUGGGAACGUGCCCUUUGGUUCGGAACAACUCAGGGAAACUUGAGCCAAUACCGGAUGUGCCCUUCGGGGGAAAGAUUUAUCGCCAUUGGAGCGGCCCGCGUCUGAUUAGCUAGUUGGUGAGGUAACGGCCCACCAAGGCGACGAUCAGUAGCUGGUCUGAGAGGAUGAUCAGCCACACUGGGACUGAGACACGGCCCAGACUCCUACGGGAGGCAGCAGUGGGGAAUCUUGCGCAAUGGGCGAAAGCCUGACGCAGCCAUGCCGCGUGAAUGAUGAAGGUCUUAGGAUUGUAAAAUUCUUUCAGCGGGGACGAUAAUGACGGUACCCGCAGAAGAAGCUCCGGCUAACUUCGUG